rnacentral:rRNA from 1 species
AUUGAACGCUGGCGGCAGGCCUAACACAUGCAAGUCGAGCGGAGCGGCGGACGGGUGAGUAAUGCCUAGGAAUCUGCCUGGUAGUGGGGGAUAACGUCCGGAAACGGGCGCUAAUACCGCAUACUAUCAGAUGAGCCUAGGUCGGAUUAGCUAGUUGGUGGGGUAAAGGCCUACCAAGGCGACGAUCCGUAACUGGUCUGAGAGGAUGAUCAGUCACACUGGAACUGAGACACGGCCCAGACUCCUACGGGAGGCAGCAGUGGGGAAGAUUGGACAAUGGGCGAAAGCCUGAUGCAGCCAUGCCGCGUGUGUGAAGAAGGCCUUAGGAUUGUAAAGUACUUUAAGCGGGGAGGCGUUACCCACAGAAGAAGCACCGGCUAACUCCGUGCCAGCAGCCGCGGUAAUAC